CUUAGAAAGCGUAUCUCUCAUUAUUCCGUAUUUAGAUCAUCGAUUUUACGCUCAAAAUCUGUCAUUUGAAAGAAAUUAAUCUGAUUUACAGACCGGAGUUCCGACCUGAUCCUAAUCCCCGAUCCUAAUCCCGGUCCUGAUCCUGAUCUCGGAAUCCUCUCCGAUAACACUAAUCGUCGGCCCUGAUGAGGGUUUACGCCGUUGCGUUACUCUGUCCACGCCGCUUUUGUGCGAAGCCUCGAGACGCAUGUUGUGACAUAUGCGCUGGCAGGAAAUUCAUACAUUUCAGAUUCAGAAUAAUUCCUGAUGCUACACAGCUUUCAAAGGAGCGAUGGAACAGAACACACACACACACACACACACACACACACAGACAUACUAGCACAGGCAGCACAUUAAUUAACUUUUCUAAAGCAGCGUGUGUCUGUAGUUAAACGCUUUUUUUUUUUGCCAUCGUCAGAGUCAAGGCUGUACGCAGGCAAAAGAGGAACAUUAAUUACACACAAUGGCCCCCUUCAGCAGAUGCGUAGUGUCCGAGCCCCUUCACAGCUGUGCUGCAUUAGAGGCCCUAAGAGCCGAGGGUCUGACACAGCCAGCCAGUAAACAAUCCCCUUCCCCUAUUACUCACACACACACACACACACACACACACUCAUACACACACACCAAAUCAACCCGCUUUUAUCCAGCCAUUACGUUCACCCCAUCUUUUAUUUAUUUAUUUAUUUAUUUAUAAAUAAACAAAUAAGACCCCAUUUCUCCCCACUCCAACAUGUCACCACUCAAAUGUUUGGAAGAUUGUAAGCAGAAAAGUUAUUUAUUUAUUUAUUUAUUUUUGGACAAAAUGUCAGUUAAAGGAUACUUCCAUCAAGUUCCUGUUGUGCAAAUCAAGAUGACAUCAUCAAACACACACACACACACACACACACACACACACACGCGCGCUUUUCUGAAUCAUCAUCAUCAUCGUGGCUCGAAAUCGAAUUCGUAUUUUCAAAAACAGAAACCAAUACAACUCCCAUUAUAAUCAUGAGAACCAUUACAAGUUCAAUGAGGGUUUCUACUUUAUUGAAUUUGACCGUAGAUUCUCUACAUUAUUUACCCCGCCGGCUGUGUUUCUCCGAUCCCCCGGGGGUCACCGGACCCCACUUUGAGAACCAGCGGUCAUAGAAACCGUCACACAGUCCUCAUAAGAACCAUCACGACAGUUCACACGACAAAACACGGAGGUUGUGAUUGCUUCUCACUGGAGCAUUUUCUCAGCCAUUAUACUGUAUAUUUGCCAGCAGUUAGCCUCCCUUCUUCUUUAUCGGACAAGGUGUUCAGGUGAGAUAGGGCUCUGUUAAGAGGAAGUGUGUUUAUCAGCUGGUUCUCUCUGAUGCUUGACUGAUG
ensembl:lncRNA